AGUUGUGAAGGGGGGAUAACAGGGAGGGAUGGGCUGGAGAUAACUAUCUGUGGACCACCAUUUAGGUCCUGGUGGCCUCUGGUGAUCCACAGGCUCCAUUUGAGAACCACUGACUUCAUGAAAAAACAGGCUAUGUAAGACCUAAAAUCAAGGGAGAGGACGGACAUCUCCUGCUGCGAAGAUGAGUGUUUCCUGGAAAAGAGGGGGAGAUGAACCUGGAAGGCCAAAUCCUUGUAGCUGUCUUCUUGCCCCGGUCAGUGCCAGCCGUACUAUUCACAACACUGCUGCUACCGAGGCCUAGGAUCAGUUCUUAAGAGCAGCCCCAGUAACUGGAGGAAUGGGAGCUGUGUUGAUGAGAAAAAUGGGCUGGAGAGAAGGAGAAGGACUAGGAAAGAACAAAGAAGGAAAUAAGGAACCCAUCCUUGUUGACUUUAAGACAGACCGAAAAGGUCUUGUUGCAGUAGGAGAGAGAGCACAAAAGAGGUCUGGGAACUUCUCCGCUGCAAUGAAAGACUUGUCAGGCAAACAUCCUGUGUCUGCCUUGAUGGAAAUCUGUAAUAAGAGAAGGUGGCAACCACCUGAAUUUCUCUUGGUCCAUGACAGUGGCCCUGACCAUCGCAAACACUUCCUCUUUAGGGUAUUGAUAAAUGGAAGCGCUUACCAGCCCAGCUUUGCCAGCCCUAAUAAGAAGCAUGCUAAAGCCACAGCAGCUACUGUGGUUCUUCAAGCAAUGGGCCUUGUACCAAAGGACCUCAUGGCUAAUGCCACUUGCUUCAGGAGUGCCUCACGUAGAUAGAUUGAGGUUUUAUAUUAAUCAUUUCAGAUAAUUUUACUCUGCAUCACAAUGUAUUUCCUCCUUAAUGUUGUAAAUAUUUCACAAUUUAAGACAUUGUGUAAAAAGCAAUCUGUACAAACAUCUCCAGGCUUUGGUUUUGUACCAUGGAAAUUGUAUUUAACCACACAGGGUUUUGGUAUGUUUAUAUUGUUUACCUUAGUGAUGUAUUUGUUUAAGUGGCUAACAUCAAAACAAUUGUUUGAGGGCAUCAGUAAUAUUCAGUGUGGAAUGUUAAAUAACGCUUUUAUACUGUAUUUUGUACUAUGAUGUAACUUCCCUUCCAUACGGCUAGGCUGCUGUAACACUUGCCUGUAAUCAGUGAAGGGCUGUGCAC
rnacentral:lncRNA from 1 species